AACGAACGCUGGCGGUAUGCUUAACACAUGCAAGUCGAACGGGUCAUUUGGGGCUUGCUCCGAAUGAUUAGUGGCAAACGGGUGAGUAACGCGUAGGAAUCUACCCAUCAGUACGGAAUAACCUUUGGAAACAAAAGCUAAUACCGUAUAUUCUCUAAGGAGGAAAGAUUUAUCGCUGAUGGAUGAGCCUGCGUCAGAUUAGGUAGUUGGUGGGGUAAUGGCCUACCAAGCCGACGAUCUGUAGCUGGUCUGAGAGGAUGAUCAGCCACACUGGGACUGAGACACGGCCCAGACUCCUACGGGAGGCAGCAGUGGGGAAUAUUGGACAAUGGGCGAAAGCCUGAUCCAGCAAUACCGCGUGAAUGAUAAAGGCCUUAGGGUUGUAAAGUUCUUUUAGCAGGGAAGAUGAUGACGGUACCUGCAGAAAAAGCCCCGGCUAACUCCGUG
rnacentral:rRNA from 1 species